UCGGGAAUAUUGCGCAAUGGAGGAAACUCUGACGCAGUGACGCCGCGUAUAGGAAGAAGGUUUUCGGAUUGUAAACUAUUGCCGUUAGGGAAGAAAAAAGACAGUACCUAAGGAGGAAGCUCCGGCUAACUACGUGCCAGCAGCCGCGGUAAUACGUAGGGAGCAAGCGUUAUCCGGAUUUAUUGGGUGUAAAGGGUGCGUAGACGUGCGAUCAAGUUAGUUGUGAAAUCCCUCGGCUCAACUGAGGAACUGCAACUAAAACUGGUUGUCUUGAGUGCAGGAGAGGUAAGUGGAAUUCCUAGUGUAGCGGUGAAAUGCGUAGAUAUUAGGAGGAACACCAGUGGCGAAGGCGACUUACUGGACUGUAACUGACGUUGAGGCACGAAAGUGUGGGGAGCAAACAGGAUUAGAUACCC
rnacentral:rRNA from 1 species